AUAGCAGUGCCCACAUGUCUAAAGCACAUGGCAGAUUUCUGUUGCAAUCUGUCAGUUGCCAUUGGCAGGCCUGGUAAGGUCAUUAUCAAGGACAAAUUUGCGCCGGGAGUGACGUCUCGGAUGGAGGAUGUGACGUGGGGGAGGUUGAAGCAAAUGUUAAUGCUGCUUUUCCAAAUGUCGUACGUUCAAAUGAGGAUUGUGUGUACAACGACCAAAGUCAAGGUAGGACUGCUUUCAAGGGCCAGCUCAGAGGCACAGUCGCAGCCGGGCACCCGCCAUUUAUCGUCACACAUCUGCAUAUAUUCGCUGAAAGCGGUCCCGUCAGGGCAAGGGCGAUAUAUGCCUAUUUGGAAGAAACACUCGCAAUAGCGCUCGCAGUUGAAGGGGUCUCGAUACAAACCAUUCACACGUCCAAAGCAGAGAGGAUUCCGAAA